GACAGAGAAUGCAAGCGUUAUCCGGAAUCACUGGGCUUAAAGCGCGUGUAGGCGGGAGGGCACGUCCGUCGCUGAAAUCCCCCGGCUCAACCGGGGAACGGGCGCGGAUACGACCUUCCUGGAGGGGCGUAGGGGGACCUGGAACUUCCGGUGGAGCGGUGAAAUGCGUUGAGAUCGGAAGGAACGCCCGUGGCGAAAGCGAGGUCCUGGACGCCUACUGACGCUGAGACGCGAAAGCCAGGGGAGCGAACGGG
rnacentral:rRNA from 1 species